UCAAUAAGAAAAUGUAAAUUAGAAGAUUUGUCAAAAAUUACGAGGCGGUGACAAGGUAAACCGUUGUAAGCAGCCUCAAUCUUCAACGGCGCUUCUAGUUUUCCUGAGAGUCAGUAAGAGUUUUUGACAUCGUGCAAGGAAUGAUCGGCUAGAAGAUCUGCCACGACGAUGAGAAACUUCAAGCGCAGUAAUUCUUCGUUCCAAUUCAGAAAAAUCCGGUUGUUUAGAGGUUGAUUGCGUAUUAACUUCCGCGACUUGAAAACCAGUAUCACGUUCAACAAUUUUAUCCGCAAGUUCCGAGAGCUUGACUAAAGGCGGAUUUUCAACAAUUUCCGAUAUCGCGACUAAAGCUUGUUCAUCGAGAUGACGAAUAACAGAACUAUAUUUAAUAUCUUCGGAACGGAUACGGUAUACAGUAAAUUCACUCUCAAUCUGAGCAAACCACAGUUUAGGUUGCUUAUGCCAAAAGGUUGGAAGUUUCAACAGGCGAAAUUCAUUAGAAUGGAUCUGAGUGGACUCACCCAAUAACUGAUGUUCUAUACCAGAAGAUAAAUCUAAAUUUUCCGUUCCGACCUGUUGUUGAAGGCUCACAGUUGAUGCUGUAGUCGAAGUCGACGGAGUCAACUCAGAUUUAACAGGA
rnacentral:lncRNA from 13 species